GUGUCUGAAUAAUAAAACAAACGGUUGAAAGAGGUGUUUUCUGCAAAGACUGGUCUGGGAGAGAGGGGAGGGGACAGCUCGCGCUCUCUAAGGCUUUCUGAUGGGAAGGAAAGGUUGAGCUUGAUGCCGGUAAGACAAAUUAACCUCUUGUUUGGAGAUAGUAUUUAAGAAAUAUAUGUUAAUAGUUCAUAAAUAUAGAUCUUCUAUCUCCCGAUAAAAAUAAUUAUUCUGACUGAGAGUGCCUAGGCUACCUGUUGUGGAUAUGUUAUUAUCUAUUGCCUGGUGGAGUGGAGAAUUGACCAGCUCAUAGAUUUCUAUUGCAUCACAGGGGGACCUCUUCAUAAAGUCAAUUUACGCUCACCCGUAUCAUAACACACUAGGCCAGGUCUCUUUCCAUCCACAGAUAUUAACAGCAUCUGAAUGAUGUGCUUUCUGUAAAAUAGAGCGCAAAAAACCUGUUUCAGCUUUCAUCCGAAGAGCUUUGUAAUUUUGCUGCUAACUUAAGAGCACCUCAGACCACAAGAAAGCUCAGCAAAAUUAUAUUUUGUGUGAAAUUAUAGAAUCACUAACGCGUGUAGUAAAAAAACGAAAGGGUUGUAAAAAUAGCAAGACAUGAAAACGUGUUCUGCUCUGUGUUGUUUUGCCUUCAAUGAAAAUUUGCCUUGCCUCUUUCAGGCGAGGGUGUAGCCAGCCCAAGAGUCUCCACAAAUCUCAAGCCAAAGUGUAGGCUACUCGUCUAGUCAACACUCAAGUGUGAUGGGGCUUUCCUAAUCUGGAUCCCUUACAUAGUGAUGGGGUGUUCCUAAUCUGGAUCCUUUACAUGUUGGAUGGCCCUGGAGCAGCCAGUUUGGUCGACACUCGGUCCAGAAGGGGGGCUGCAAGGCUGAGUCCUGGGGCCAGUCCAGAUAGGUCCUGGUCUUGACCAGUCUUGCCAGACGGCUUGACCAGU
rnacentral:lncRNA from 1 species